rnacentral:rRNA from 2 species
AAAUUGAAGAGUUUGAUCAUGGCUCAGAUUGAACGCUGGCGGCAGGCCUAACACAUGCAAGUCGAACGGUAACAGGAAGCAGCUUGCUGCUUUGCUGACGAGUGGCGGACGGGUGAGUAAUGUCUGGGAAACUGCCUGAUGGAGGGGGAUAACUACUGGAAACGGUGGCUAAUACCGCAUAACGUCGCAAGACCAAAGAGGGGGACCUUCGGGCCUCUUGCCAUCAGAUGUGCCCAGAUGGGAUUAGCUGGUUGGUGAGGUAACGGCUCACCAAGGCGACGAUCCCUAGCUGGUCUGAGAGGAUGACCAGCCACACUGGAACUGAGACACGGUCCAGACUCCUACGGGAGGCAGCAGUGGGGAAUAUUGCACAAUGGGCGCAAGCCUGAUGCAGCCAUGC